GGAAUUUUGCUCAAUGGGGGAAACCCUGAAGCAGCAACGCCGCGUGAGGGAUGAAGGCCUUCGGGUUGUAAACCUCUUUUCUCAGGGAAGAUGAUGACGGUACCUGAGGAAUAAGCCACGGCUAACUACGUGCCAGCAGCCGCGGUAAUACGUAGGCGGCAAGCGUUGUCCGGAUUUACUGGGCGUAAAGAGCGCGCAGGCGGUCGUUCAAGUCGAGUGUGAAAGCCCCCGGCUCAACUGGGGAGGGUCACUCGAUACUGAUCGACUCGAAGGCAGGAGAGGGAAGUGGAAUUCCCGGUGUAGUGGUGAAAUGCGUAGAUAUCGGGAGGAACACCAGUGGCGAAGGCGACUUCCCGGCCUGUUCUUGACGCUGAGGCGCGAAAGCUAGGGGAGCAAAC
rnacentral:rRNA from 1 species